rnacentral:rRNA from 1 species
AUGGUCCAAGUAGAUCUAGCUGAAUGCAUUUUAGCACUUGACCAAACAAGGAAAAUACCCAUUACAGACCAAGAAAUAAACGAUGCAUUUGGUCUGCCACAAGGAAGCAGGACCAUUCCACCACGUCACUCAGACUUAUCUGAAGUUUGUAUAGAGUUCAGCAGGUUGGCGUCAACCAUUAGUACCAAUGGCGUGCAUAGCUUGAAGGCUGCUGAAUUUAUCUUAUCUAAGGCAUUAGAUGAGAAUUCAAGCAAAGUGGAGUGUGAGUGCUUCAAUAUAGCUUUUGUAAUUUUCUCAGUUGGCCAUGUUUUGAACCCAUGCGCCAAGCACAAUUACACUAGUGUCGAUUACUGGGCAGCACUGGUUGUGCCGUCGGAGAUAAAUUCCUACAACUGGUGUAGGCUUGUCAAAGACAGUUUGAUGAAAGGGGUCAAAAAAAUCAAGACCGACAUUGACAAUGGGAACACAACAAUUCACAUAGUUGGAUGUCACCUCCUUCAUAUUGCACAACAAUCUUAA